rnacentral:rRNA from 1 species
UACGGAGGAUCCAAGCGUUAUCCGGAAUCAUUGGGUUUAAAGGGUCCGUAGGCGGAUUUAUAAGUCAGUGGUGAAAUCUCCCCGCUCAACGGGGAAACUGCCAUUGAUACUGUAGAUCUUGAAUAAUUAGGAAGUAACUAGAAUAUGUAGUGUAGCGGUGAAAUGCUUAGAUAUUACAUGGAAUACCAAUUGCGAAGGCA